rnacentral:rRNA from 1 species
CCUGCGGAGGGAUCAUUACCGAGUUUUCAACUCCCUAACCCUUCUGUGAACCUACCUAUCGUUGCUUCGGCGGACUCGCCCCAGCCCGGACGCGGACUGGACCAGCGGCCCGCCGGGGACCUCAAACUCUUGUAUUCCAGCAUCUUCUGAAUACGCCGCAAGGCAAAACAAAUGAAUCAAAACUUUCAACAACGGAUCUCUUGGCUCUGGCAUCGAUGAAGAACGCAGCGAAACGCGAUAAGUAAUGUGAAUUGCAGAAUCCAGUGAAUCAUCGAAUCUUUGAACGCACAUUGCGCCCGCCAGCAUUCUGGCGGGCAUGCCUGUUCGAGCGUCAUUUCAACCCUCGACCUCCCCUUGGGGGGGUCGGCGUUGGGGACCGGCAGCACACCGCCGGCCCUGAAAUGGAGUGGCGGCCCGUCCGCGGCGACCUCUGCGCAGUAAUACAGCUCGCACCGGAACCCCGACGCGGCCACGCCGUAAAACACCCAACUUCUGAACGUUGACCUCGAAUCAGGUAGGACUACCCGCUGAACUUAAGCAUAUCAAUAAGCGGAGG